ACUAGCGCUGAAGAUAUCCAAAGUGAAAGCCAAGUUAAGCUGCCCCAGUAACCACUUGACCAUUUUGAAUUGCAAAACUAAAGCGACAACAGACAAGACACAGAGGCAGCAACAGAAGAGUAGAUGAUGGAGAGCGACACCAGACAAGACAGAGAGAGAACCUACUCUUUUGUUGCUAUGAUGGAGAGACACCAGAAGAACAGUACAGGCUAUGACAGAAGAGGAUAGGCAAAGGAGACAGUAACAAACACAAACCUGAGACAGCAACAGACUAGUCACAGAGAAAGUGACAGAAGAGAUGGAGAGAUAAGAGGACGAGAGAGGAGGGAAGACAAAAGAGACAGCAACAUAGAAGAAUAAGAGACAGCAUCAUAGAAGAAUAAGAGACAGCAACAGAAGAGGGCAGACGAGAGACAGCAACAGACAACACAGAGAACGCGAUGGAGAGAGGCAGAGGAGGGGUGAGCACACAGAAGACUAUCACUUACAGCUGCUCUGUGGAUUCUAAUUACUGCACAGUGUGUGUGUAAGAGAGAGGGUGUUUGGGUACUUUGGGAUUAUUUCAUCAGUUUGGCUCAUUGGACAAGUCAGAGUCUAUGUUUUGAAGUUUUUGAGUGGUAUGAAGGUUUUUGGCAAUACACUGUAGAUGUAUGUGUUCCAGAGUAGAGGGAAGAGAGUGUUCCAGGUAGAGAGACCCACAGUAGUACUGUCAGUGUCUGCUGUGGCAGGUGGGAAGGUGCAAGUAACUUGAAAAAUAUCUAAUAUCUAAUAUCUCCAAUGGUCAUCUCAAAGUGCAUCAAAUUAAUGCAUUCAGCUGUUGAAUUUCCUUCU